rnacentral:tRNA from 1 species
GAAAAAGUAGUCUAAGUUUUAUGGCGUCGGUUUCAUAAUCCGAAAGUGGGUUUAUAUCCCUUUUUCA